CUCGAUGCACCGAGGAAUUUCGCUUGAGGAAGGUGAAGAAUGACGAGCUGAAGGCUGAAGCCAAGGCCAAAGGCACAGUCAUCUGCACUAAGAGGCAACCGGAAGGCCCCAAACCAGGGUUCAUGGUUGAAGGAGCUUUAAUGGAAACUGUGACUCCCAUUCCCUACAAUGUGGUUAAUGAUCUCAAGGGUGGCUAUUGAAAUUUUAUCCUCUUUGAACUUUUGCCUUGUUUUGUAGUUUCAUUUUUGUUUGAUAUUUGAACUGCUUGAAUAGUACAAUUUUAUCAUAUUAUGCUUCUAAAUUUUGGAUACGAAACUUAUGGAAUUAAAUUGUUUCUUAGUUUCUAGUUUUGGCCAUUAGCAUAAGGAAGUGUAGUUUUAGCUUAUUAAAAGUAAAUUUUGUUGCCUUAGGUUAUUCUUUCCAUUGUUUUCAUAUAUUCAUAUUUCUUAAUCACCAUCUAAUUUCUUUCCAUUGUUUUCACAUAUUCAUAUUUCUUAAUCUGAUUAGCGUUUUUAUUUCAAUAACAAAGGAGAGUUUUCCAAACUUUGAUAUUACCCAUGAUAGAGAAUGUUUUGAGUUGGAAUUAGGGCAAAUUAUAGCCUAAAUUAAAUGUUUACAAACAUUAGUCAUUUUAUCACUAAAAUUUCUUUGGACUUCAUUUGAUAUGUCAAUUUGUUUGGUUUAUGUUUUCAAAUAAUUAUUGACAUGAAAUUAAAGUAUGGAUAUAUAUCAAAAUUACUUACAGUAAAUGAACGAAUCAAGGUUGAUGAGAGUUUUUGCAAUCAUCCUUCAUCAUUUAUGUAUUCUUUCAAUGACUUUGAUUCUGCCACAAUCUAUUUUGUUCUUCUAAUUCUUGAAUAGCUUGUCAAUCUCAUUGGCGUGCAUUUCUCGCUCAUGAGCUAAUGCAGUUGAGGAAGAACUAUCAAUGGCGUGUUAGAACUUUGGCCUUUGAGUAGCCUAGUCGUCUAUCCAAAAUUGGCUUUGCAUAUUCGUGGGUUGGGACUAGAUAACAAGUAUUUGAUUCUGCCAUAAAAUUUAAUUGAAUAAUAAGUAAAUUGUGUGUAAACAAAAUGUAAAAACAAAAUGAAGACAACAAGCAUAGCAGAAAACUUACACGAGCAUCUACUCUCUUACAUCUUCACUCGAUCAGUGAGCGCUACUAUUGUGACUGUAGGGCUGCUUUGCUAUAGUAGCCCUAUUCUUUGAUGAUUGUAGAUGUAAAUAAGAUAAAAAUGGAACAUUAAAGAACAUUAAAAAUAUAAACUUUCGUUUGAGAACAUUUGUAAGUUUUAAGUCAUUUAAAAUUGUCACAUAUCCAACACACGAUUCUUCAAUCGCGGGUGGGUUGGCUUGUGCCUAUUCAGGAUCACUAAACUUUUUUAAAUGACGAGGGUUCUGCCCCUAAACUCUUUUCCCUAAACUCUUUCUAGGUGGUGAGAACCUGAUGCUCAACUAACGGAUUAGGUGUUGGAUAUGUGAAAUCCUCGAAAAAUUGCUACAAAAGGAAAGUAUAUUAAGAUUAUAUAUAUGUACGCGAUAGGUCAUUAACUUAUAUGAACGCUUAAUUUUAAAACUUACUCGUAUAGAGUCCUUCACGAGUUCGAUGUAAUAUGGGGUAACAUCGGUCCACUUAAGAAAGCAAUCAGGAAAAGUGUCUAGCGUUAGCACAACGCGAGCCAAUGGUACAACUGAAGCGAACAGUGUGUGGAAAGAUCAACUUAUCUUCCAGUGUAUGGAAAGAUCAACUUAUCUUGUCUUGGAACGAUCAAUAUGAGGAUCUUCCCAUUUUGUGCAACAUAUCACCACCUCCUCUUCUACACCACCACUAUUUAAUGGCAUGCCAUUCUCAAAACCUUUCUUUGCCGUUUGUUGUUCAUGUUCAAUCGUUGCUUGUAAAUCGUGCAACAUCCCCAACUUUUUCACUGUCUUCAUAAAAUAGAUUACUACUAUUUGAUUAAUGGAAAUGAUCAUUACUAGGUGUUUCAUCUAAUCUUUCUAUACCUUUAUAUAUACAAGUUGACUGAGACUCCAUAAUACACCAAUAUGUGUAGGAGAGGCAUAUUCUAUUCGUUAAUAAAUGUCUGUCCAUACCCUCUAAUUAAAGGCUCUCCAUGCAUGAUGGCGUCAGGAGAAGUUUGCAUCUUUUUUAAAUUUUAAACUUCUCUCAAUGUCGCUAUGCAUGUCAUGGAGAGUUCCCUUUAAAAUUUCUUUUCUUAUUUUUUUCCUCAGACGUGUCUCUCUCCCUUAAGGUUCACCACCACUUGUUGUCUAUUAUCUGUCGCUUGCUGUCGCAGUCGACACUUGUGAGCUAUCCUUCGUCCCUCGUCGGUAAAUGUUUGUUUCGUUUUUUUUCGUUUUGGUUUGAGUUUGAGAAAAAAAAAACACUAAAAAGGUAUGUUAUUUUAUUUUAUUGUGAAAGCCUUCUUUUAUAGUGUUCAUCUUUGCCAAUUUUACAUUAUGCAAAAAGAAGGUUUAUGAGAUAUUUUUUUUAUUUAAUAAUUAUUUUUAAUUAUUAAUUAAGAAAAAAUAGCUAAAUACUCACAUUUGAGUGAAUUGUCAGAGAAUUUAAAUGAAGGUAAGAAUGACAAUCCAAUGAUAAAAUUUAACCUUCCAAAUUUAGUGAGUACUUGAACUUGUCUAACAAUCGUUAAAUUACACUUCUAGAACCUCAAAACUAUUUUGAAAAUUAUCGAAACACUAAUUUUUUUUUAAAAAAAAUGACUUAAUUUUUCUAUCAAAUACUUAAAAAUAUAUUUAAAAGACAGUAUUGUGUUUCAAUUUAAAUUAAAAUUAAACUCUACACCAUGAUAAUAAUUUUUUUGACCAUUUUUAUUUUCUAGAGGAAAAACUACAAAAAUAGUUAUAAAUGUAGCCAUUAGAUUUAAAAUAAUUAAAUUUUUAAUAAUAUAAUUUUUAAAAAUAUAACAUAAUAUGUUAAAUUCGAAAUGAUAGUAAUCAAAUAUUAGUCACUAUAUUUAUGAUUUUUUAAAAAUAUAGUUAUAUGACUAUUCGUAAAUUUGCUAACAGAUUACAUUUUGUGCUUUCUAUCUGGGCCCAGUUUAAUUUAUCCGGCCCAUUAAAGAAGCCAAUAAAAAACCUAGCCUGGGAAUUAGGGUUUCUUCAUUUUGUGAGAGAGUGUGAGAGAAAGUUCCUGCUCCAAUCAUGCCGGCCGGCCAUGGACUUCGAUCACGUACCAGAGACCUCUUCGCCAGGCCUUUCAGGAAGAAGGGUUACAUUGCUUUGACUACCUACUUGAGGACGUACAAAAUCGGUGAUUAUGUGGAUAUCAAGGUGAACGGCGCCGUCCACAAGGGUAUGCCUCAUAAAUUUUACCAUGGUCGCACAGGUCAGGUAUGGAAUGUCACAAAGCGCGCCAUCGGUGUCGAGAUCAACAAGCAGGUUCGGGAUUCUUUUUUAAAAUCUGUUAUAGUUUUUAGAAUGUAUGUGAAUCUGGUGAUUUAGGGUAAUAGAUCGUGUUUGGUUUUGAUAGAAUCUUAAUUAGUUUUCGGACUCUGUUUUUCUUAUUAAACUUGUGAAUCUUAAUGUAUGUUCUAGUUUGAUGGGUUCUGGAAUCUGCUUUUUUUUUUUUUAAGUAUUAAACUUGUGAUUUUCGGAAUGAAUUUUUUGUAGGUCGGGAACAGAAUUAUUAAGAAAAGAAUUCAUGUGAGAGUGGAGCACAUGCAGCCUUCUCGAUGCACCGAGGAAUUUCGCUUGAGGAAGGUGAAGAAUGACGAGCUGAAGGCUGAAGCCAAGGCCAAAGGCACAGUCAUCUGCACUAAGAGGCAACCGGAAGGCCCCAAACCAGGGUUCAUGGUUGAAGGAGCUCUAAUGGAGACUGUGACUCCCAUUCCAUACGAUGUGGUUAAUGAUCUUAAAGGUGGCUAUUAGAAUUUUCACCUAUCUGAACUUUUGCUUUGCCUUGUUUUGUGAGUCUUAUUUUUGUUUGAUCUUUGCUGCGCAACUGCUCUAAUGGUACUGGCGUAGGUGGAUGGGUCCUUUGUGGUUCGACUUCUAAAGGAAAACAACAAAAGAGUAAUAGGAAAUAUAGUAAAAUUAUUUUUAAAAAGAUAUAGAGUUAUUUGUUCUCACUUUAGAGGUUCUUCAGUUAUUUAUCACUAUUUCAUUAUUAGAGAAGCAAACAAGAAAGACAUUGACUUGGAAACGUAUAAAUCUUUGUUGAAACGUUUGAUUUACUUCAAGAAAUAAAAUAAUAGAAUAGAAUAUCAAUUCAUCUUUUAUGUCAAUGUUAAACUUGGAAAAAAUAUGAAAAUAUGAUAAAAUAUUGUGAUGUUGAUGGAGAUUUAAUAAUAUGUCACCUAACUCCUUUUGAAAUUCAAGAAGUAAACAAAGACUAAGCGUGAAUUAAAAUUAGGAUAUGCAUUUUUAUCGAUUUUUUAAAAUAAUAAGUAAAAUGCUACUUUUUCCAACUACUCUAUGGUAACAUUUAAAAACAAUUUUAUGUUUUAAUUUUCAUAAUUAUGAAAGGCAUCAAACAAAUAAUUUAUUUAUCCUUCUUCCAUUGUAUAUUAAAAUUUAGUCGAUUUGGAUGUAAAUUAUACGUAGGUAGGAUGCUCUAUGUUUCAAAUACUUAGUCUUUUACUCAAUUAUUUAUUAAGAGCAAUAUAUUAAUACAUUAACGAUGAAUUGAAAUGAUAAAUUUAGAAACAUUUUUUUUAAUACAAAUUGGAUCUAAGAUCUAGAACACAAAAUUUCUUGAUCUUCAAUCCACAUAUUGCAAUUGAAUUAAGCUCUUCAAAAAUUUAGAAAAUCAUAUAUUUUUUAAACCUCUCUUGAGUAAUUCACACUAAGAAAACCACAAAUUUGAUGCAAAGGAGACUUGGAGGGAUUCCAAUAGUUUAUAACAAACUUUUAUACAAAUUUGAAGCAAGGGAGACUUAGGAUUCCAAUAGUUUAUAACAAACUUUUAAUAAUAUAAAGUUAAGAUUUGAAUUAAAAAUUAGCAGUAGACUCGAUAAAUUUUAAAUAACUUUUGAAGAUCUAUAAAAUUAAAAAUGAAGAGUAUCGAUUUGGUUUUUAAAAGUUAAGAUUGUGUUUUUUUUAAAAAUUAUUUUUGUUUAAAAAUUUUGAUUAAGAAUAUGAGAACUUUUCUAAAAAUGUAAAAAGUAUAGUCUAUGAUUAAUUUUUUUUUUAGAAAUAGAAACUAAAAUAAAAAGUAAUUUAUUUUGAAAAUAAAAACAAAUUCUUUGAAAAACAAAUAUUUUUCUAAGGUCAAUGGAUCAAAAUUUGUGAUUAAAUCUUUUUUUUAGGUUAAAAGCCCUUUGAAAAUGAAUAGUCAAUUAUACCCCCGGAUCUUCGUCGUCGUUGGGUUUAACUCAAUUUCCCGUUUCUCGUCAGAACUGCAAACUGAAGACGGAACCCGCGAAUUCGUUGCCGAACAAAGAUCUUCAGUGCGAGCUUCAGUCUAGACAUGGGUACUAGAGAAGUUUACGAACAGAAGCUAAGAAGAGGCAAUCUCUACCAUGAACCCACUAUGAAUCCAGGGCUCGGAUCGCCUCGUUGCCCUCGCUGUUUUUCUCUUCUUAAACCCGACGUAUUUGUCUCUUCUUCUUCUUCUAUUAAGCACCUUCUACUACUUAAGUUUUUUAGUUUUGGGAUUCAUGUUUGAGUUUUACUGUGUUUUGAUUCAGGAUAAAAGUGAAUGGGCCAUCAAUCCUGUUCUCCACGGUGUUACUGCUGUGGUGAGUUGCCAUCGUUCCGAUCUUCGAUUUUAUUUGCUUUGAGAACACAUAAUUUAAUGGGUGCUUCUAGGUUUUUUGAUCGUGUAGAGUUAUAAUUGAACUCUAUGUUGUGUUUGUUUAAUUGGUUCGGUCUUGAGUAGUUCAUGAACGUUUGUUGAUCGAUGAUUUAGGAGUUUAAUUCAAUUCAGUUCUUGCUAUUAGCAAUUGGAGUAUUCUAUCUAACUCAAUUCAUGGUUUUCAAGGGACGUAAAAAAUUGUAGGAAUGAAGUUCGUGGUUUUCUUUUGGAAAAAUCUUUAUUUCUUCGCUAAUUCAAAAGAAGGUUUAUGAGAUAUUUUAUUCUUAUUUAAUAUUUUUUUUAUUAUAUUAAGAAAAAAUAGCUAAAUACUCACCUUUGAGUGAAUUGUCAGAGAAUUUAAAUGAAGGUAAGAAUGACAAUCCAAUGAUAAAAUUUAACCUUCCAAAUUUAGUGAGUACUUGAACUUGUCUAACAAUCGUAAAUUAAAUUCUAGAACCUAAAACUAUUUGGAAAAUUAUCGAAACACAAUUUUUUUUAAAAUGACUUAAUUUUUCUAUCAAAUACUUAAAAAUAUAUUUAAAACACAGUAUUGUGUUUCAAUUAAAUUAAAAUUAAACUCUACACCAUGAUAAUAAUUUUUUUGACCAUUUUUAUUUUCUGAGGAAAAACUACAAAAAUAGUUAUAAAUGUAGCCAUUAGAUUUAAAAUAAUUAAGUUUUAAUAAUAUAAUUUUUAAAAAUAUAACAUAAUAUGUUAAGUUCGAAAUGAUAGUAAUCAAAUAUUAGUCACUAUAUUUAUGAUUUUUUAAAAAUAUAGUUAUAUGACUAUUCGUAAAUUUGCUAACAGAUUACAUUUUGUGCUUUCUAUCUGGGCCCAGUUUAAUUUAUCCGGCCCAUUAAAGAAGCCAAUAAAAAACCUAGCCCUGCAAUUAGGGUUUCUUCAUUUUGUGAGAGAGUGUGAGAGAAAGUUCUGCUCCAAUCAUGCCGGCCGGCCAUGGACUUCGAUCACGUACCAGAGACCUCUUCGCCAGGCCUUUCAGGAAGAAGGGUUACAUUGCUUUGACUACCUACUUGAGGACGUACAAAAUCGGUGAUUAUGUGGAUAUCAAGGUGAACGGCGCCGUCCACAAGGGUAUGCCUCAUAAAUUUUACCAUGGUCGCACAGGUCAGGUAUGGAAUGUCACAAAGCGCGCCAUCGGUGUCGAGAUCAACAAACAGGUUCGGGAUUCUUUUUUAAAAUCUGUUAUAGUUUUUAGAAUGUAUAUGAAUCUGGUGAUUUAGGGUAAUAGAUUGUGUUUGGUUUUGAUAGAAUCUUAAUUAGUUUUCGGACUCUGUUUUUCUUAUUAAACUUGUGAAUCUUAAUGUAUGUUCUAGUUUGAUGGGUUCUGGAAUCUGCUUUUUUUUUUUUUAAGUAUUAAACUUGUGAUUUUGGAAUGAAUUUUUUGUAGGUCGGGAACAGAAUUAUUAAGAAAAGAAUUCAUGUGAGAGUGGAGCACGUGCAGCCUUCUCGAUGCACGGAGGAAUUUCGCUGAGGAAGGUGAAGAAUGAUGAGCUGAAGGCUGACCAGGCCAAGGCCAAAGGCGCAGUCAUCUGCACCAAGAGGCAACCGGAAGGCCCCAAACCAGGGUUCAUGGUUGAAGGAGCUCUGAUGGAGACUGUGACUCCCAUUCCAUACGAUGUGGUUAAUGAUCUCAAAGGUGGCUAUUAGAAUUUUCAUCUCUUUGAACUUUUGCCUUGUUUUGUGAGUCUUAUUUUUGUUUGAUCUUUGCAACUGCUCUAAUGGUACAAUUUUCUCAGAUUAUGCUUCUAAAUUUUGGAAACGAACUUAUAGAAUUGAAUUGUUUCUUAGUUUCUAGUUUUCGUCACCCUGUAGUUUUAGUUAUUCAAAGAUGUUCUUGUUUCGAUUAUUUCCAUUGAACCCAUAUUUCUUAAACUAACUAAUCUUUCUAUUCUUAAUCACCAUCCAAUUUUGAUAACAAAAAGAGUUUUUAAAACUAAUUUGAGUUUCAAACAUUCUUACUUUUUUGAUAUUACUAAUGACAGAAUGUUUAUCACUGAAAUUUAUUUGAUAUGUCAAUCAAUUGUGUUUUGGUUGCUUAUUGUUUGGUUUAUGUUCCCAAAUAUUGUUAUCGGUGAAUAAAACUACGAGGAGUUCGCUUGAGUAUAUGAUAGUAAACUAAUGAUUUUUAGUGAAAAAGUGGAGUAUUAAGGUUGGUAACUCUCGAACAUCCUUUGACCAUUAUAAUAAGUUCAUUGUUGUAGAUUUUAUCCAAUUGUAAUAUGUUACACCAUUUAUAAUUGUAUGGAACAGAUGUUCUUGAUUGAUUAUAUUUGAGAGAACCUUAAUAUGUAUGUGGAAUUUUUAAUUGUUUUAUUUAUGUUUUAUAAAUAAGGUUCAUUUCGUAAUCAACUAUCAAAUAAUUUGGAAUUUUAAAACCUACCCUUUUGAAAGUGUUAUUUUAUUUUUGUGUCAAAUUUAAUAACAUUUUCGUUAUUGAGAUAGAGAUUUGAAUUCUAACUAGUUCUUGUAGUUUAUUUGCCAUAAAUUGCCGACACAUGUGGUGGUGACUGUAAUAUCAAAAAUUCAUAACCAUUCAGGCCAUUGGCAUGUAGAAAAUUGAUUGUCCUGUAAGUUAUGUGAUUUUUAAAUGAUGAUGUGAUUUCUCCAUUUAAGUUAGUAGCAGCAAAAAUUUGGGAAUUUUCAAUCUGUAAUUAUGAUCGGCUCGAGUUAUUGACUCUCUUUUGAAUAUGUGGCUAGUUUUAAUCUUCUGUUUCAAAAUGAUUGAACGGUCUUUGUAUGUCUCAUAUUCCAAAGAUCAAACAUUUUAUAUGAUAAAAUUGGCUAGAAAUAGUGAAGGGUUUUUCGAUUUUCAAGUGUAUUCAUUGGAGUUUUGUCAUAGUAAUUUAGCUUCGAAAAAACUCAUUCAAGUGGUUAAAAAUGUGAUUGGACAUUCGAUUCUGCAUAUGAGAGUUUGAAAGAAAAUGUCGGUGCAGACUAAUUAGUGAUGUAUGGUAUGCCUUGGUUUCUAUCUAAUAUGAAGUUCGGAAGUUUGGUGAUUAUUAGAAAACACAUUCCCUUUUUUCGACUUUAAACACUUGUGGUCUUAGAUGAGAUUAGAAAUGUACAUCCUGAACUUUUGAAUAACUCUUAAUUCAAACUUUAUGGUGAUAAUACUAAAUAGAAAUAGUAUGAUCACUUUAAGUAACAACAAUUACUCAUGACUCAUUCUUUUGUUUUGAUUUUGGUUGGGUUGUAUCCACACGGAUGUUCUUUAUAUUCCAUUAGUUAUAAAAGAUUGCUGCUCCAUACAAUUUUCCAUCAUGACCAAUAUGUUCUUUAUAUUCCAUUAGUUAUAAAAGAUUGCUGCUCCAUACAAUUUUCCAUCAUGACCAAUAAAUAAUGGUGAUCGGAACGAUAAUUAAAAUAAUAGAAAAACUAAAAUAGAAUAAAGUUUAGAUACCAAUCUAUAAAUUUAAAUCUAUUAUUUAAUUUAAAUUUUGUGAACCACCUCAAACAAUAUUUUGAACUUAAGCCUAAGGUUCACUUUAAUAUAUGGUCACCACAUAAACUUUAUUAAAGAAAAAGAGAGGAAAAAGGAAAAAUUCCCAAAUACUUUUUCUCAAAAAAAAGAAGAAGAAGAGGGAAAAUCCUUUGUUUAGUAGUGAAAGACAUAGACGUUAUACUCCACUACGGCAUCGCCGGAGCUGAAAUUCAGGGCAUGAGUCUUCGCCAGAGCAUACCCACGAGCAAAUCGGAAAAGCCCGCCGCCGCCGACCACUGGCAUCUCUCUCACGGCGGACAUAAUCGUAUUCCGCCCCAAGAUGCUCAAAUAACUCCCAUUAUAUUUCCCUUCCACAAACGCGAAAUUCAUUACCAUUAAGAGCCCAAAUUCCGUUUUCGACGCCCCCGCGUAAAAUCCUUGAGCUUUUCCCAGCAAUUUUGACCCAAUUUCCGGCCGUUCAGUCAGCGGAUCAUCCGUCAUCACCACAGCGCCAAACAGAGUCCGUGAGGCAUUGGACGACGGCGGUGGAACGACAAUCAGCGCCGUGGGGUUCCGGCCGCUGACGAUGUCAUGGAAGUAAAAGUGGAGAUGACUCAGCUUCUCCCGCCGCCGAAUGCCGAGCUUUUCCGGUGACAGAACGGUGUCGGAUGCGGCGAGGAGGGAGGUAAGGAAGAGAGAGAAAAAAGUGGCAGCUGCGACGGCGGUGGAGGGCAUGGGGAUGAGAAUUGGAGCCAUGGGAGUGGAGGAAUUUGAAAGUAUUUAAAACGGUGGAAUUUCAUUAAUAAUGAAUUGUGUUUGAUAUAAACGGCGAGAAGAAAAGUAAAAGGUAUUGGCGUAGGUGGAUGGGUCCUUUGUGGUUCGACUUCUAAAGGAAAACAACAAAAGAAAUAAUAGGAUUUUUUAUAUUUACAAAAUAUAUUAAAAUUUUUAAAAGAUAUAGAGUUAUUUGUUCUCAGUUCUUCAUUUAUUUAUCACUAUUUCAUUAUAGAAGCAAACAAAAGACAUUGCCUUCGAAACUAUAUAAAUCUUUGUUGAAACGUUUGAUUUACUUCAAGAAAUAAAAUGCCUUCUUAUUGAAAUUUUCUAAUUCUAGUAACUUUAAAAACUAAACUUAUUUCUCUCCUUUGCACAACAUGAUUUUGAUUUUCUAAAUUUUUUAUUUUAUGUUUUACUAUGAUAUAAUAGAAUAUCAAUUCAUCUUUUAUGUCAAUGUUAAACUUGGAAAAAUAUGAAAAUAUGAUAAAAAUAUUGUGAUGUUGAUGGAGAUUUAAUAAUAUGUCACCUAGCUUCUUUUGAAAUUCAAGAAGUAAACAAACACGAAGCGUGAAUUAAAAUUAGGAUAUGCGUUUUUAUCAAUUUUUUGAAAUAAUAAAUAAAUGCUACUUUUUCCAGCUACUCCAUUGGUAACAUUUAAAAACAAUUUUAUGUUUUAAUUUUCAUAAUUAUGAAAAGGCAUCAAACAAAUAAUUUAUUUAUCCUUCUUCCAUUGUAUAUUAACCAAUUUGGUAGAUUUAGAUGUAAAUUAUACUAUAGUAGGUAGGAUGCUCUAUGUUUCAAAUACUUAGUUUUUACUCAAUUAUUUAUUAAGAGCAAUGCAUUAAUACAUUAACGAUGAAUUGAAAUGAUAAAUUUAGAAACAAUUUUUAUAAUACAAAUUGGAUCUAAGAUCUAGAACACAAAAUUUCUUGAUCUUCAAUCCACAUAUUGCAAUUGAGUUAAGCUCUUCAAAAAUUUAAAAAAUCAUAUAUUUUUUAAACCUCUCUUGAGUAAUUCACACUAAAAAAACCAAGGAGACUUGGAGGGAUUCCAAUAGUUUAUAACAAACUUUUAUACAAAUUUGAAGCAAGGGAGACUUGGAGGAUUCCGAUAGUUUAUAACAAACUUUUAAUAAUAUAAAGUUAAGAUUUGAAUUAAAAAUGGGCAGUAGACUCGAAAAAUCUUAAAUAACUUUUGAAGAUCUAUAAGAUUAAAAAUGAAGAGUAUCGAUUUUUUUUAAAAAUUAAGUUUAUAAAUACUACUUUUAUUCGUAAAUUUAUUUAUUUAUCCAACUCAAAUUUAGGUAAGAUUGUUUUUUUUUAAAAAUUUAUUUUUGUUUAAAAAUUUUGAUUAAGAAUAUGAGAACUUUUUUAAAAAAGUAUACUCUAUGAUUAAUUUUUUCAGAAAUAGAAACUAAAAUAAAAAGUAAUUUAUUUUAGAAAAUAAAAACAAAUUAUUUGAAAAACAAAUAUUUUUCUGAGGUCAAUGGAUCAAAAUUUGUGAUUAAAUCUUUUUUUUAGGUUAAAAACCCUUUGAAAAUGAAUGGUCAAUUAUACCCGGAUCUUCGUCGUUUGGUUUAACUCAAUUUCCGUUUCUCGUCAGAACUGCAAACUGAAGAGACGGAACCCGCGAAUUCGUUGCCGAACAAAGAUCUUCAGUGCGAGCUUCAGUCUAGACAUGGGUACUAGAGAAGUUUACGAACAGAAGCUAAGAAGAGGCAAUCUCUACCAUGAACCCACUAUGAAUCCAGGGCUCGGAUCGCCUCGUUGCCCUCGCUGUUUUUCUCUUCUUAAACCCGACCCUGUAUUUGUCUCUUCUUCUUCUUCUAUUAAGCACCUUCUACUACUUAAGUUUUUUAGUUUUGGGAUUCAUGUUUGAGUUUUACUGUGUUUUGAUUCAGGAUAAAAGUGAAUGGGCCAUCAAUCCUGUUCUCCACGGUGUUACUGCUGUGGUGAGUUGCCAUCGUUCCGAUCUUCGAUUUUAUUUGCUUUGAGAACACAUAAUUUAAUGGGUGCUUCUAGGUUUUUUGAUCGUGUAGAGUUAUAAUUGAACUCUAUGUUGUGUUUGUUUAAUUGGUUCGGUCUUGAGUAGUUCAUGAACGUUUGUUGAUCGAUGAUUUAGAGUUUAAUUCAAUUCAGUUCUUGCUAUUAGCAAUUGGAGUAUUCUAUCUAACUCAAUUCAUGGUUUUCAAGGGACGUAAAAAAUUGUAGGAAUGAAGUUCGUGGUUUUCUUUUGGAAAAAUCUUUAUUUCUUCGCUAAUUCAAAAAGAAGGUUUAUGAGAUAUUUUAUUCUUAUUUAAUAAUUUUUUUUAAUUAUUAAUUAAGAAAAAAUAGCUAAAUACUCACCUUUGAGUGAAUUGUCAGAGAAUUUAAAUGAAGGUAAGAAUGACAAUCCAAUGAUAAAAUUUAACCUUCCAAAUUUAGUGAGUACUUGAACUUGUCUAACAAUAGUUAAAUUAUAGAUCUAGAACCUAAAAACUAUUUGGAAAAUUAUCGAAACAUCAAUUUUUUUUUUUAAAAUGACUUAAUUUUUGUAUCAAAUACUUAAAAAUAUAUUCAAAACACAGUAUUGUGUUUCAAUUAAAAUUAAAAUUAAACUCUACACCAUGAUAAUAAUUUUUUUGACCAUUUUUAUUUUCUGGAGGAAAAACUACAAAAAUAGUUAUAAAUGUAGCCAUUAGAUUUAAAAUAAUUAAGUUUAUAAUAAUAUAAUUUUUAAAAAUAUAACAUAAUAUGUUAAGUUCGAAAUGAUAGUAAUCAAAUAUUAGUCACUAUAUUUAUGAUUUUUUAAAAAUAUAGUUAUAUGACUAUUCGUAAAUUUGCUAACAGAUUACAUUUUGUGCUUUCUAUCUGGGCCCAGUUUAAUUUAUCCGGCCCAUUAAAGAAGCCAAUAAAAAACCUAGCCCUCGCAAUUAGGGUUUCUUCAUUUUGUGAGAGAGUGUGAGAGAAAGUUCCUGCUCCAAUCAUGCCGGCCGGCCAUGGACUUCGAUCACGUACCAGAGACCUCUUCGCCAGGCCUUUCAGGAAGAAGGGUUACAUUGCUUUGACUACCUACUUGAGGACGUACAAAAUCGGUGAUUAUGUGGAUAUCAAGGUGAACGGCGCCGUCCACAAGGGUAUGCCUCAUAAAUUUUACCAUGGUCGCACAGGUCAGGUAUGGAAUGUCACAAAGCGCGCCAUCGGUGUCGAGAUCAACAAACAGGUUCGGGAUUCUUUUUUAAAAUCUGUUAUAGUUUUUAGAAUGUAUAUGAAUCUGGUGAUUUAGGGUAAUAGAUUGUGUUUGGUUUUGAUAGAAUCUUAAUUAGUUUUCGGACUCUGUUUUUCUUAUUAAACUUGUGAAUCUUAAUGUAUGUUCUAGUUUGAUGGGUUCUGGAAUCUGCUUUUUUUUUUUUUUAGUAUUAAACUUGUGAUUUU
rnacentral:lncRNA from 1 species